rnacentral:rRNA from 1 species
GAGUUCCCUUCGGGGACAUUGGUGACAGGUGGUGCAUGGUUGUCGUCAGCUCGUGUCGUGAGAUGUUGGGUUAAGUCCCGCAACGAGCGCAACCCUUGUCUUUAGUUGCCAUCAUUAAGUUGGGCACUCUAGAGAGACUGCCAGGGAUAACCUGGAGGAAGGUGGGGAUGACGUCAAAUCAUCAUGCCCCUUAUGCUUAGGGCUACACACGUGCUACAAUGGGUAGUACAGAGGGUUGCCAAGCCGUAAGGUGGAGCUAAUCCCUUAAAGCUACUCUCAGUUCGGAUUGUAGGCUGAAACUCGCCUACAUGAAGCUGGAGUUACUAGUAAUCGCAGAUCAGAAUGCUGCGGUGAAUGCGUUCCCGGGUCUUGUACACACCGCCCGUCACACCACGGGAGUUGGAGACGCCCGAAGCCGAUUAUCUAACCUUUUGGAAGAAGUCG